AUUGAACGCUGGCGGCAGGCCUAACACAUGCAAGUCGAACGAGUGGCGGACGGGUGAGUAAUGUCUGGGAAACUGCCUGAGGGAGGGGGAUAACUAAUGGAAACGGUGGCUAAUAACGCAUACAAUAGUAUGUGCCCAGAUGGGUUUAGCUAGUAGGUGGGGUAACGGCUCACCUAGGCGACGAUCCCUAGCUGGUCUGAGAGGAUGACCAGCCACACUGGAACUGAGACACGGUCCAGACUCCUACGGGAGGCAGCAGUGGGGAAUAUUGGACAAUGGGCGAAAGCCUGAUGCAGCCAUGCCGCGUGUAUGAAGAAGGUCGUCGGGUUGUAAAGCACUUUCAGCGGGGAGGCGUUACCCGCAGAAGAAGCACCGGCUAACUCCGUGCCAGCAGCCGCGGUAAUUC
rnacentral:rRNA from 1 species